GACUGAUUACAAGGUUGUAGACACCUGUGAUGCUAAUUAGUGGACACACCUUGAAUUAACAUGUCCCUUUGGUCACAUUAUUUUCAGUGUUUUCUAGGGGUACCAUCAUUUUUGUCCAUGCCUGUUUCAUGAGUUUAUUUUUUAAAAUAAUUCUGUUGAAGCAUGGUUGAACAACAAUGUCUGACUUUCAUUGGUUAACAUUUAUAGAAUUUUUAUUUAUUAUUACUUUUGUCAGAUUAAAGUUUUUUCUGUGACCAUUGUGCGUUUUUCUUUCAUUGAUCGAAGGGUACCAACAAUUUUGUCCACGUCUGUAUACACACACUGAGCAUGGUAGAAAUGCAUUUCCUCCUUUUUUCACAUUUUGAAAACGUAAAUUUUCUCAUCCAAUGGAGAGAGACCUCGUCCUACUCUGAGGCCGUUCCCCAGUUGUCGUCGUAUUGGUAGGAAGUUCUCCCUGCAAAUCCUGAACCACCACCCCCACAAUGGUCCCGAACCAAAACUGGACUUCCGCCAUUUCCCCCAUCUCAUUUAUCGUGAACAGACGAGCACAGCAGCGUCCAAGUGCUCCCAUAGAAAGUGUUCAGUUCUUGGGUGUUUUAACCAACACCAAAGUCUCUUCACUUUACCAAGGGAUCAACAAGUGAGGACUUGUCACUUUUAUUUUUAACGGACCGGUGCCAGAAACACUGCCUCAGCAUUUAUACGUAUGUGCAUUUCAAACAAGGGUGCGCACAAUGCUGGAUAUCUUUCACGGCUCCUGUUGGAAAUAACGGAUUUCUUCCUAAAGUCCCUUAUUCACUCACUGAUGUAAGUAAAUGCUUGAUACUUAAAUGUUUUAAAAUGCUAAUUUGUCUAUUUAAAAUGUAGUAACCUAUGUGUGAGGCGCGUUAGUUAGUUAGCUAGCUAUGCUAACGGCUACAGCCAGAUGACCAAGCCUUUGUUCCCUUCAAAUGUGCUCAUGUGGGCUCCUGCAGCCACACACCUGUGUGGAGAAAAGCUAAUUGCUAUCGGCAUCGAGCGGCUACAGGCAGGGAGCGGUGGGUCUAGCGUUUGUCCUUUUUCUGUAAUCGCAUACACCUGCGGGAAACAGAUAAUCGUUAUCGCCCUUCCAGCGGCGACAGACAGGAAGCGGUGGAUCUAGCUCAUUGUAGUAUGUUUGUGCUUGAUACUUGUGAUGUCUUAAUAUGUUAGUUGUUUUUUUUUAAAUGUGGUAUCCCACAUGUGAGACAAGCUAAUCACUAGCGUUGCUAACGGCUACAGUGAGUCAACCGAGCCUUUGUCCCUUUCAAAUCUGCUACUCUGAGAUGGCGCAGUCACACACCUGUGUGGGGAACAGCUAAUAGCGAUGGGCCUUCGAUCGGCGACAGGCAGGAAGCGGUGGAUCGAGCUUUUGUCCUGUUGACGUGCUGCCGCUCCUGUUUGUGUGUUGCGUUAGCCGUUAGCAUGCCUUUAGGAGCUACAGCUGGUUGAUCGCUACAAUAAGAAACUGCAGAUGAACGCGGUUAUGUUUGUUAUUACCCCGUCCUGUGUCACAGCCUAAAUCAACUUGUGAUUUGGGCUUAUGUCAUUGUUCUAUUAAAUUCUAACAUGAUUUGAUUACGGUGUUGUGUUGCAAGCUUAGUUGCCAAUUAGUCACAUCUCUACAAGAACUGCUGCUUAUCUGGUCAGUAACCUAUAGCUUGUACCAUAGCCAUUAUAUUUGUAGGACCAAUACAAUUUACAGUAAAUUUAACAUUGUCUUUUCUAUACUGUAGGGGGACACAUUCCAGUUACCCACAUGCAAGGAGGCUGUCAAACAGAAAUCACUGCAGACUGUUGGUACACAGCCAUCUGCUGCCCAGAUCAGGAGUGAAGUACCUUUUGUUUUGAUGAGGUGAUGGUGAGGACAGCCACAGCUUCCAUCUGGUAGAGGACUGCUUCCGCUCAGUCUUCCAAAUAGUGAUGAGAACAAGGAUCACCACAUCUCCCUGGUCAUCUAUUUACAACUAUAGCUGUCCUGCUGCAGAAACAAAUCUCCAACAUAACCAUGUCCUACCCAGGACAUGGACUGUUUACCCCACUUCCAUCAAGCAUUUAAUAUUCAAGGCCCUGCAAAAGCUUCUGUCUUUAUACCCCCAGACUUCUUAAUUAAUGUGUGUAUGAAGGUAACAGUUUGUUCUAGCUUUGGAGUAGUGGUACAUUUUUUUGGUUGACAAUAAAGUUGGCUUUAACUAUUAGGUAUUUCACUGAACUCUGUUUCUGAAGGAAAACACUUUUAUUCAGGGAAUCAUAGAAAGAGAAAAACCAUGUAAUUUCAAUACUAAUACAGUAAGCUAUGAAGUUGAACCAGCCAUAAAUAAAAAGCAUAUAAAUUAUAUAUAAAUUAAAAGUAGUAUUGCACUCACAAAAAACACAUAUUUACUCAAAUGGUAAAGGAGUUAUUCCACAGGUGGUCUACAUCCAUCAUAAAAUGAAAAAAAAAAUAAAUAAAAAAAAAUAAAUGUUUUAUCCAUCAAGAAACUCUGCCUU